rnacentral:rRNA from 1 species
CACGUAGGGCGCAAGCGUUGUCCGGAAUUAUUGGGCGUAAAGAGCUCGUAGGUGGUUUGUUACGUCUGCUGUGAAAACCUAGGGCUUAACCCUGGGCUUGCAGUGGAUACGGGCAGACUAGAGGUAGGUAGGGGAGAAUGGAAUUCCUGGUGUAGCGGUGAAAUGCGCAGAUAUCAGGAGGAACACCGGUGGCGAAGGCGGUUCUCUGGAACGCAACUGACGCUGAGACGCGAAAGCGUGGGGGAGCAAACAGG